GUUUAGAGCCAGCGGCAGGCAGGGGCGGUGGGCACGCGGGCUCCCAUCCGCGCGGCUAUUGGAAGCAGGUUUCCCUCACCCCUGCCAGGAAGCCAACCACAGCGCUUCUCAACUCGCCCAAUACGCGUUUCUGGAGUCCUCUGAACAGCUGGCGGGAACGUUUAGCACGCGGGACUGGACAUUCGCUUUCGCUUGUUUUUCCAACCAGCAGAAGCAGACAAUCCGAAGUCAACCGAUUGUAUUGAAAUCUAAAGUCUGGAGCACCAACGGCCCGGCCUGACGUCUACUGCUGAAGCUGGGGGAUGGGGUGGGAUGGA